GCCCACGCCGCAGCUGCAUCAAGUCCAGAGUUCGCAAGUGCUCGUGCCGGCACAGUGCUGCUUAGCGUCCCUAGAGUCUAAUUGUGCUUGUUUGCUUCAGUCCACAGCUCGGCAAACGGAGGAGACGUAGGCCAAUCACAGAGGAAUGUUUCAGCUCUGUGGAGGUCGGGGGUUCACGGGGUCGUCCAGAACAAUCGCUCAGCAGUGAACGAGGGUCCUCGUGUGGAUCCAAACGCAGGCGGCUGGAAGCAGCGAUGGGAAAGCAGAGGGUUCUGUUUGUUCCUAGUUCAUCUCUGAGAGCUUUUCCUCGGGGCAGCCCGCUGUCAACCGCGUCCUGUUUCUCCUCCUCAGCUUCAUCUUCCUCCUCCUCCUCUUCCUCCUCCUCCUCCUACCUCACUCCAGCAUCAGAGGAGGGUGUAGAGGAGGUGGCUUUGGCUGUGGCAGGUUCCACAGGAGAAGCCAGUACUGGUUCUGUCAGCCAGUUGAGGAGGGAAAGAGUGACGACGGCUCCAUCGUCGUCCUCGUUGCUGCCGGCCUCUGACUCUCUGUCCUUUCUGACAGCGGAGGAGAGGAGAUGGCUGAACGGUGAACGAGGAAACACCUCAACAGCAGCGGAGGAGAUCAUCAUCAGUGACGAUGAGGAGGCCAUGGUUCGCGCGGCACAAAUGGAGGAAGAUGAGGCGUUGGCGCAGAGCCUGCAGGCCCAGUUUGACCAAGAGGAGGUGCACAGCAGCCACCAGCACCACCAGCACCACCAGCGCCUCUACCAGCACAGCCACCACAGGUAUUAUUCCCACAUGGAACCCAGCUGGAUGUCCCAUGUGCUGGCUGCAGUGGCUCCCCCUGCUGGCGUGGAAGAAGAUCUGAUUGGUCGGCAGAGAAGACGUGGGCGGACCAGAGGGAGGAACGCCGUGCCCAGCAUGUCAGAGGACGCUCAGGGAAACGACUACGAGGCUCUUCUGGCGUUUGAGGAACACCAAGGUGCCGUUGUGUCAAAGAAGUUGACGCGAAGGCAAAUCCAGAGAUUUCCCACCAAAACCUUCCAGUCCACCAACAGCGCCGGGAACACUCAGUGUCAGAUCUGUUUCUGUGAAUACACUGAGGGGGACAAGCUGAGGAUGUUGCCGUGUUUCCAUGACUACCACGUCCAGUGUAUUGACCGGUGGUUAAAGGAUAACACCACCUGCCCGAUCUGCAGAGCGAACCUUGCUGAUGGUGACUUCUCCGCCCCCCCGACCCUCUGACGGCGUCUGUGCUGGCAUCGCCCAGUUUCAGCGUCCCCUCCCGCCCCCUCCUGCCAGAAUAAAAAGCUAAAACCUGGAAGCUGCUGCUGAGUCGUCUGAUAUCGAACCAGCUAGAGACAAAGUUAAAGAUGUUUUCCACGUACACCUCUGAUGUGUGGAGACGUCUUCAUUCCUCGUAGUAGCGUUUCUUCAUGGCUCUGUAUUUCCUCAGGUAGUACAGCGCCUCCAGCUCUCUGGCCACGUACUCCCCUCGAGCGAUCAUCUCCUUGAUCUGCUCCGGGUCCUGGACCGACUUGUUUUUGGUGAACGCGGAUCUCAGCCGGUCUCUGAAGUAGUCGCCUCCUUUGGGAUACUCCCGGCCGAGGUAGAGGAGCUAAGGAAGAGUUUUGGAUUUUAAAUUGAACACACGUUGCCUCAUUAAUAAAGACACUUAAACACUUUGUUAAGAAAAUCAUUUAGCUCUGAAGGUUCGAUGUUUUAAACCAAGAGACGACACGUCUCCACUUUCUCCAGAAAUGAAGCUGAAACUUGUGAUGUCAUUAAGAGUCAGUGAAAUAAAAGUCAUUCAUCUGUGAACGUG